rnacentral:rRNA from 1 species
AGGGCGACCGGCCACACUGGAACUGAGACACGGUCCAGACUCUACGGGAGGCAGCAGUGGGGAAUCUUCCGCAAUGGGCGCAAGCCUGACGGAGCAACGCCGCGUGAGUGACGAAGGUCUUCGGAUUGUAAAACUCUGUCCAGAGGGAAGAAGCAAGUGACGGUACCUCUGGAGGAAGCCCCGGCUAACUACGUGCCAGCAGCCGCGGUAAAACGUAGGGGGCGAGCGUUGUCCGGAAUUACUGGGCGUAAAGGGCGUGUAGGCGGCUUGGUAAGUCAGUCGUGAAACCUACCGGCUCAACCGGUAGCUGGCGAUUGAAACUGCCGGGCUUGAGUGCAGUAGAGGGGAGUGGAAUUCCCAGUGUAGCGGUGAAAUGCGUAGAUAUUGGGAGGAACACCAGUGGCGAAAGCGGCUUCCUGGCCUGUAACUGACGCUGAGGCGCGAAAGCGUGGGUAGCAAACAGGAUUAGAUACCCUGGUAGUCCACGCCGUAAACGAUGGGUGCUAGGUGUUGGGGGUAUCGACCCCUCCAGUGCCGCAGUUAACGCAAUAAGCACCCCGCCUGGGGAGUACGGCCGCAAGGCUGAAACUCAAAGGAAUUGACGGGGGCCCGCACAAGCGGUGGAGUAUGUGGUUUAAUUCGACGCAACGCGAAGAACCUUACCAGGUCUUGACAUCCCCUGCCCGCUGUGGAAACACAGUUUUUCAUCUUCGGAUGAACAGGGAGACAGGUGGUGCAUGGUUGUCGUCAGCUCGUGUCGUGAGAUGUUGGGUUAAGUCCCGCAACUAGCGCAACCCCUACCUUUAGUUGCCAGCAAGUAAGGUUGGGCACUCUAAAGGGACUGCCGUUGACAAAACGGAGGAAGGA